rnacentral:rRNA from 1 species
GACGAACGCUGGCGGCGUGCCUAAUACAUGCAAGUCGAGCGCAGGAAGUCAUCCGAACCCUUCGGGGGGACGUUGACGGAGUGAGCGGCGGACGGGUGAGUAACACGUAAAGAACCUGCCCUCAGGUCUGGGAUAACCACGAGAAAUCGGGGCUAAUACCGGAUGGGUCAUCGGACCGCAUGGUCCGAGGAUGAAAGGCGCUCCGGCGUCGCCUGGGGAUGGCUUUGCGGUGCAUUAGCUAGUUGGUGGGGUAAUGGCCCACCAAGGCGACGAUGCAUAGCCGACCUGAGAGGGUGAUCGGCCACACUGGGACUGAGACACGGCCCAGACUCCUACGGGAGGCAGCAGUAGGGAACCUUCCACAAUGGACGAAAGUCUGAUGGAGCAACGCCGCGUGAACGAUGAAGGCCCUCGGGUCGUAAAGUUCUGUUGUAAGGGAAGAACAAGUGCCGCAGGCAAUGGCGGCACCUUGACGGUACCUUGCGAGAAAGCCACGGCUAACUACGUG